AUUGUAAAGUAGAGUAUAGAACUCAAAUGAGUUAUAAAGUAGGUAUGAGGUUUAUUUCAGCACCGGGCCCAUGCAGGAUAGCUCCCAAAGGCAUGCACACCCCAACACGGCAACUUGCCUUAGUUAUAUGCAGUAAAGAGUUACAUAUGCAUGAAGUUUCCCAAUACGCCUAUACAUAUGCAUGGCCUAUCCCGGCUUCAUAUUAAAAUUAGUUCCAAGAAAUCAUUUCCAUAAGCUCCU